rnacentral:misc_RNA from 1 species
CAAAAAUGUGAUUGUGUACUUCUAUCCGUAUGGAGGGAGGCACGAAUCCAAACCCCUUGUGAACUGUUAUUCGUACUUGGCAAGUGAUGCGCUUGUUGGUAUUCAGUUGAAUAUUCAACGAGUGUCCAGAGUUUCAAAUGGGCCUCCCAUUUGAAAGCUUGUCUUUUUCUUAAACCAAUUCUACUAUUUGUCUGAUCUAUAAAAAUUCAAAUUAUGAAA